rnacentral:hammerhead_ribozyme from 1 species
AUCCAAAUGACGAGUCCCGAAUAGGACGAAAUGCACGUUGUCCUGGAC